CCCAGGUCAGGCGGGAUUACCCG
rnacentral:snRNA from 1 species